rnacentral:rRNA from 1 species
UACGGGGGAUGCAAGCGUUAUCCGGAAUUAUUGGGCGUAAAGCGUCUGUAGGUUGUUUGAAAAGUCCGGUGUCAAAGACCAGAGCUUAACUCUGGACCGGCAUUAGAAACUCUCAAACUAGAGCACGGUAGAGGUAUGGGGAACUCCUUGUGUAGCGGUGAAAUGCGUAGAUAUAAGGAAGAACACCGGUUGCGAAAGCGCCAUACUGGGCCGUAGCUGACACUCAGAGACGAAAGCUAGGGUAGCAAAAGGGAUUAGAUACCCCUGUAGUCCUAGCUGUAAACGAUGGAUACUAGAUGUUGCGUGUUUGCCACAGUAUCGUAGCUAACGCGUUAAGUAUCCCGCCUGGGAAGUACGCUCGCAAGAGUG